rnacentral:rRNA from 1 species
UACCUGGUUGAUUCUGCCAGUAGUCAUAUGCUUGUCUCAAAGAUUAAGCCAUGCAUGUCUAAGUAUAAGCAAUUAUACCGCGAAACUGCGAAUGGCUCAUUAUAUAAGUUAUCGUUUAUUUGAUAGCACAUUACUACAUGGAUAACUGUGGUAAUUCUAGAGCUAAUACAUGCUAAAAAUCCCGACUUCGGAAGGGAUGUAUUUAUUAGAUUAAAAGCCAACGCCCUUCGGGGCUUCCUGGUGAUUCAUAAUAACUUUUCGAAUCGCAUGGCCUUGCGCCGGCGAUGGUUCAUUCAAAUUUCUUCCCUAUCAACUUUCGAU